rnacentral:rRNA from 1 species
GAUGAACGCUGGCGGCGUGCCUAAUACAUGCAAGUCGAGCGAACAGACGAGGAGCUUGCUCCUCUGACGUUAGCGGCGGACGGGUGAGUAACACGUGGAUAACCUACCUAUAAUACUGGGAUAACUUCGGGAAACCGGAGCUAAUACCGGAUAAUAUAUUGAACCGCAUGGUUCAAUAGUGAAAGACGGUUUUGCUGUCUCUUAUAGAUGGAUCCGCGCCGCAUUAGCUAGUUGGUAAGGUAACGGCUUACCAAGGCAACGAUGCGUAGCCGACCUGAGAGGGUGUUCGGCCACACUGGAACUGGAACACGGUCAAGACUCCUACGGGGGGGAGCAGUAGGGAAUCUUCCGCAAUGGGCGGAAGCGUGACGGAGCAACACCACGUAAGUGAUGAAAGUCUUAGGAUCGUAAAACUCUGUUAUUAGGAGAGAACAAAUGUGUAAGUAACUAUGCACGUCUUGACGGUACCUAAUCAGAAAGCCACGGCUAACUACGUG